rnacentral:rRNA from 1 species
UACGAAGGGGGCGAGCGUUGUUCGGAAUUACUGGGCGUAAAGGGCGCGUAGGCGGCCGAUCAAGUUAGAUGUGAAAGUCCUGGGCUUAACCUGGGGACUGCAUUUGAUACUGAUUGGCUUGAAUUCGGGAGAGGAUAGCGGAAUUCCCAGUGUAGAGGUGAAAUGCGUAGAUAUCUGGAGGAACACCGGUGGCGAAGGCGGCAUCCUGGACCGACACUGACACUGAGGAGCGAAAGCCAGGGGAGCAAACGGG